rnacentral:rRNA from 1 species
UGCCUUAGUAACGGCGAGUGAAGCGGCAACAGCUCAAAUUUGAAAUCUGGCCUUUGGCCCGAGUUGUAAUUUGCAGAGGAUGUUUCUGGCGAGGUGCCUUCCGAGUUCCCUGGAACGGGACGCCAUAGAGGGUGAGAGCCCCGUACGGUUGGUCGCUAAGCCUCUGUGAAACUCCUUCGACGAGUCGAGUAGUUUGGGAAUGCUGCUCUAAAUGGGAGGUAUACGUCUUCUAAAGCUAAAUACCGGCUAGAGACCGAUAGCGCACAAGUAGAGUGAUCGAAAGAUGAAAAGCACUUUGAAAAGAGGGUUAAAUAGUACGUGAAAUUGUUGAAAGGGAAGCGCUUAUGACCAGACUUGGACCGGUUGAUCAUCCAUCGUUCUCGGUGGUGCACUCUGCCGGUUCAGGCCAGCAUCAGUUUGGCUUGGGGGAUAAAGGCUUCGGGAAUGUGGCUCCCUACGGGGAGUGUUAUAGCCCGUUGCGUAAUACCCUGGGCUGGACUGAGGUUCGCGCUCCGCAAGGAUGCUGGCGUAAUGGUCAUCAGUGACCCGUCUUGAAACACGGACCAAGGAGUCGUCUUCGUAUGCGAGUGUUCGGGUGUCAAACCCCUACGCGUAAUGAAAGUGAACGUAGGAGAGAGCUUCGGCGCAUCUCCGACCGAUCCUGAUGUUCUCGGAUGGAUUUGAGUAAGAGCAUACGGGGCCGGACCCGAAAGAAGGUGAACUAUGCCUGUAUAGGGUGAAGCCAGAGGAAACUCUGGUGGAGGCUCGCAGCGGUUCUGACGUGCAAAUCGAUC